rnacentral:miRNA from 1 species
UCUCCCUCUUCCUCCUCUUCUUCCUCCUCCCUCCAUAUUGCUAUUAAUCAGGAGCUAUCAUCAAUGCACUGAAUUUCUAUCAUCGACAUAGAUUUAAAUAAAUCAAACAAAAUGAACAUUGAGCAGAGAGCAAAACUUUCGUCUGGCAUAAAUUUGGUCUAUCAUUGCAUUUUCAAUAAAU